AGACUCUGGUUUCUCUUCAUUGCGCACAAAAGCUUUUGCCUUUUACUAAAGACUUCCGUGGAGAGGAACACUUACGAGUUCAACGUAUUUUUGGAGGUGCGUUUUGCUUCUUGCAGAGCC